rnacentral:rRNA from 1 species
AGUCGAACGACUUCCGUUAUUGAUUAUGACGUGCUUGCACUGAAUGAGAUUUUAACACGAAGUGAGUGGCGGACGGGUGAGUAACACGUGGGUAACCUGCCCAGAAGCAGGGGAUAACACCUGGAAACAGAUGCUAAUACCGUAUAACAGAGAAAACCGCCUGGUUUUCUUUUAAAAGAUGGCUCUGCUAUCACUUCUGGAUGGACCCGCGGCGCAUUAGCUAGUUGGUGAGGUAACGGCUCACCAAGGCGAUGAUGCGUAGCCGACCUGAGAGGGUAAUCGGCCACAUUGGGACUGAGACACGGCCCAGACUCCUACGGGAGGCAGCAGUAGGGAAUCUUCCACAAUGGACGCAAGUCUGAUGGAGCAACGCCGCGUGAGUGAAGAAGGGUUUCGGCUCGUAAAGCUCUGUUGUUAAAGAAGAACGUGGGUGAGAGUAACUGUUCACCCAGUGACGGUAUUUAACCAGAAAGCCACGGCUAACUACGUGCCAGCAGCCGCGGUAAUACGUAGGUGGCAAGCGUUAUCCGGAUUUAUUGGGCGUAAAGCGAGCGCAGGCGGUCUUUUAAGUCUAAUGUGAAAGCCUUCGGCUCAACCGAAGAAGUGCAUUGGAAACUGGGAGACUUGAGUGCAGAAGAGGACAGUGGAACUCCAUGUGUAGCGGUGAAAUGCGUAGAUAUAUGGAAGAACACCAGUGGCGAAGGCGGCUGUCUGGUCUGUAACUGACGCUGAGGCUCGAAAGCAUGGGUAGCGAACAGGAUUAGAUACCCUGGUAGUCCAUGCCGUAAACGAUGAUUACUAAGUGUUGGAGGGUUUCCGCCCUUCAGUGCUGCAGCUAACGCAUUAAGUAAUCCGCCUGGGGAGUACGACCGCAAGGUUGAAACUCAAAAGAAUUGACGGGGGCCCGCACAAGCGGUGGAGCAUGUGGUUUAAUUCGAAGCUACGCGAAGAACCUUACCAGGUCUUGACAUCUUCUGCCAACCUAAGAGAUUAGGCGUUCCCUUCGGGGACAGAAUGACAGGUGGUGCAUGGUUGUCGUCAGCUCGUGUCGUGAGAUGUUGGGUUAAGUCCCGCAACGAGCGCAACCCUUAUUACUAGUUGCCAGCAUUCAGUUGGGCACUCUAGUGAGACUGCCGGUGACAAACCGGAGGAAGGUGGGGACGACGUCAAAUCAUCAUGCCCCUUAUGACCUGGGCUACACACGUGCUACAAUGGAUGGUACAACGAGUUGCGAAACCGCGAGGUUUAGCUAAUCUCUUAAAACCAUUCUCAGUUCGGACUGUAGGCUGCAACUCGCCUACACGAAGUCGGAAUCGCUAGUAAUCGCGGAUCAGCAUGCCGCGGUGAAUACGUUCCCGGGCCUUGUACACACCGCCCGUCACACCAUGAGAGUUUGUAACACCCAAAGCCGGUGGG